ACCUGAGGAGUUACGCAACAGUUUGAGGAAGGACCAGAUUAAAAGUAAUGAGAAGCAGCUGCUCGCCUGUAGAAACUCAACACAAAGUUCAGACAAGUUACAUUCAUGAAGUUCGUUUUCUGUUCCUCAACAACAAAACUCUCUGUUCUCAUCUUCUAAAGAAAGAAAUGGGAUUCUAUGAAGAUUGUGUCUGGAGGAGCAAUGGAGCGUUGCUGGUUUCAGUUUGUCCGCAUGUUCCUCCAGAUAUAACUGGAGGAGAUAAGAAGUCCUUUCAGAAGAACAUCAACAUUUAAAAAGCCAUCCGUCAUCCUGACAAAUGUAUCAUUUAAUAGUUAUAGCUAAACGUUGAACUACAUAUAAACUUCAUUAACAAAACCUAUAGGACAUAAAUUACAAUGUAUUGAAUCAGUUUUUCUAGUUUUAUUUAUUUUUUUAUCUUAAUAAAUAUUUUUUAAUGGUUUAUUAAAUUGUGGCAACUUUUGGCUCUCAGUUUCAUACUGAAUAUGUUUACAAGAAACAUAAAAAUUAAAGAUAUUUUCUCUUCAAA